rnacentral:lncRNA from 1 species
AAGACACAAGAAGCUGACAGAGAUCAAACCCUGAGAAAGCUAGUAUUCCAUAAAAGGGUAGGGAGUAUUUUCAGCCUCUUUAACUCUUGUGGCAGACUGCUGGUUAUCAUAAUUCAAGAAGAGAUUCUUUGCCCUCAUAAGCCCAAGUACUGGAGUGGGCUGCAAUUUGGGGACUUCUUCAGAGCAUUACACUGGGCUACCAGCUCAUGCUGGGAUCCUUCCUUUUCCCCCUGGACCUGGGCUGUAGUAGCGGGCACAAUACUGGGUGUGCACUCAUUGUGGGACUUCGCUUUGCUCGGAGACCUUCAAACCUUGUCUCUUCACAUCACCAUAUCCUUUGCAACCAUUCCCCAGCACAGCCUGGACUGUGACAGCCCCACAGGGUGGCUGGACCCAGAGGAGCAGUGGGCUUCACAGUAUACAGCUUCCUAGGAGCAGAUAUUAUAUCUGCCCAAAUCAGAGUUAGCAUAUGUAAGAGAGUCAGUAAAAUACUUCCUGAAUUCAACUGAGGCAAUUCCAUGAAGAAAAAGGAACCACAAGAGGGAACAUCAUGAGACCUUGGCCUCUCUUCCUCAGUGUACUGAAUCAGCUUUUGCUAUAAUUUUGGUGACUCAUAUUGGCCCUGAUCAUUAUUGGAAUCCCGUAAGUUUCAUAUUCUGCUCCAAGAAACAUUUGGAUAAAUUGAGAAAAACUAAUAGCCUUUCAUGGUAAUAACAGUCUACUCCCUUCAUGAUGUCAACAAAUGCUAUCAGAGUCCACACAAGACCUCCCAAACAUUUCUGAUGAUCAGAGACAAGAUACCGUCUUAUAUACCAAAAACCUCAGGUGAGAAACAGAAGUAAACUGGCAAGCCAUCCCUGAAGCUCCAGACAGCAAACACAGCAAGCAUGCAGCUUCCCCUUCUGUCUGGAGGAAUCUUGUGCUAAGCAGCACCUACCCACAAGCCUUUGUUUCUCUACAGAUGGAAAAGCUCCUGCCAUCCUGGGCAGCACAUGGUAGAGGGGAGGCAGCCACUGACCUUCUGGGUAAUCUGUCAUGACGACCUGAUAGCAGACCGGCAGGAUGCUCCAAACUGUCACCAAAGAUGUCACGAGUGCUUCUGAGGCUCAAGAAUCUAAUUUUCCUUACUUAAAAUAAAAGGACUGAAUGCUGGAUGAAUAACCCUUUUUUUCACCCCCUAAACAAAUCUCAUAGGGAAUCCUAAUAUAUAAAAUAACCAAAGUGCAAGCCCUGGGUUAAAGCCGAGGAUGGGUGCUAGAGAUGGGCUAGAGCAUGUCUGCUUAGCUUUCUUCCACUAUCCCAGCCAUUUAAAGACCACAAGUUAGCUUCCUGGAAUUCAGUUUGACAAACACUUAGGCUAGAUCAUUGUCAGGGGACCUUCAUUUCAAGCUCCAUGGAGUAGGUCGGGGACUCUGCCUUGGUCAUCCCUGAAUCCCCACAGCCAUGGUUCUAGCACACAGUAAGCACUAAAAACCAAAACCCAAA